GAAUUCUAGAUCUAGGAGGAAAGGGGGCUCUGUAUACAGUUGGCAUUGAGCCUCCAUAGCUUGAUCUUCCAGGGGACCUGGGACCAAAGGCUAUCAUCGUGGCUGCUAGGGACUAAAUGAAUCCACUGAGCUAGAUCCUCUCUUCCUAAAGAAUCCCCACCAUCUUGCACUUCUCUCUAGAUCUCAGAUUUAAGAGGACAGGGCCUUUUAAUUGAGGAUUUCCAAGCAGAUAGUCUCUAGUCCCUAGGAGAUUCCCAGACCAAAAGGGGAUCUCCAUUAUCCUGAGCAGAUUCAUAUAGUCACAGCCCCUUCAGAAUCAUUCCUCUUCUACUCUUCUGCUCACCUGAUCUAUUACCAUCUUCUUCAGUGCAUCCAUCUUGGUAUUGCCACGGAUGAGUCGAUCCAAAAUCCGAUACCAACCACCUACCACAGGGCCCUGAAGACAAACUCAGGAUAGGAGAAACAAAAAAGGGAAUGUGAGUUAGUUCCAGUGUUCCCAGGGGAAUUGAACUCCUAUUUCUGGCAGGCCCAGAAUGCCUGGAACUGGUGUCAGAUACAGCUUCUACAAAAGGGAAGAUACAAGACUGACUCGAUUUCUCCAGGAUCCAUCGGGGUGAUAUAAUAAAAGCUGAGCCUCCCUAGGCUCUCCUGGUCUACAUCAAAACUCCUCCCGAGGUCUGAUCAGAAUAAGAUCAUUCUCAGACAUAGCAAAAGUCAAACCCAAUGCCAUACAAAAGAUUGUGAGAUUGGACCAGAUACUACCCAGGGGUAGAAUUCACUCCUGGUAUGUUCUGUGGGGCAGGAUAAUGAGUGAGGGAGAUUAUGAUUCAAAUCCCACUUUUUAAAAAAUCUUUACCUUCCAUCUUAGAAUCAAUACUGUAUUGAUUCUAAGGCAGAAGAGUGGUAAGGGCUAGGCAGUGGGGGUUAAGUGACUUGCCUAGGGUCACCUAGCUAAGAAGUAUCUGAGGCUACAUUUGAACCCAGGACCUCCCUUCUCUAGGCCUGGCUCUCAAUCCACUGAGCCACCCUGCUGCCCCCUCAAAUCUCACUCCUCACAUUUAGUAGCUGUAUAACUUUGAUCAAAUAAUGAAAUCUCUCCAUCUCAGUUUUCUCAUUUACAGAAUAAGAGUAAUGACAUUAGUGAAGUAACUACCAAACAGAGUUUUGUUAUGAGGAUGAAAUGAGAGAAUAUAUCUAAAAUAAUUUAUAAGACACACAAGCAUUAUGUAGAUUUAAUAUAUUAUUAAUAACAAUACUAAUAAUAGGUCAUUAAUGUCCAGAAAAGGGUAUAGAGGACUCAAUCUUUCUCCCCCAUGUCUGUAGUUUGGUCCAUUUUGAGCACUGUUCCCAGAAUAUGAGGCUACUCUGUAGAAAUAUGAGGGACUUUCUGGGAAACAGGGUAUUCUGGAGAUCUAGUGAGUCUAGUUAUACGUUUGGUUCAGUUUGUACCCUGGCCCAUAACAAAACCUUCAAGACAGAGCCUGGAACUUAACUGGCUUCUGCAAAGGAAAUUACUUGGAAAGAGCUUUGGUUCUCAAUCCUAUCCUGGUCAGAUGUCCAGGAACCAGGGACCCCCAAGUAUGGCCUAUUCAUUCCACCACUCUCUCCUUAUGGUAGGAUUCUCAAACUUUCUCCACAAAAUCUCAAGCAUCUCUUCCAUGGCCAGAAGACACUUUCUAGGCUCACUACCAGGAUGUAAAAAGAAAAGGCAAAGGGGUCAUCCCUCUUUUCUCCUCAAGUCCACCCUCAGACCUUCCUCCUGGCAGCUGCCAACUCUGGACAAAUGUAGAAGCUGGCUGGGCACAAAGCCCAGCGUGUCAGUUCCCAUCAUGGCCACAUAGUGCAGCAUGAGUCACCACACACACACUCAGCCCAGGUGAGUCACUGCCCUGGCGGGCACACCGAGGACAAGACAUGGGGUGGUCAGACACAGUGGGCUGGGUAAGGACCCAGGGGAGUCUGAAGCAGGGGAGUGAGAUGGGAAUAACUCGGAUACUCAGAGCCACUUAUUUUAGACUCCCAGGUUGAUGUGGCAGUAAAAAGGAAAAGGUCUUUAGCACCAACUCCUACUCCUCUCUUUCAACAACACCUGGACCCUUUCUAGGCUCCUUAUCUUAAAUGGUCCAGAAUUCUACCCCAAGGCAAAUCCCCAUGGUCUGGGGCUAUGGUCAAGACUCCUUCAUCCAACAAAAUUUACUUGUAUAUCAUCCCUUCAGGGUCCUUUGCCCUAAUCUUCAAGGAUACUUCAUUUGUUAAAUGAAAGUAUUCAUAGACUCUAGUGGGUUAUUUUCCCCAGGUCAUAUAUUUGUCUCUUCACACAAAGGACUGACUAGAGUAAAUCUUGGGUUCCCACAGCUGGGUUCCAAAGGAGGGUUUUCUUGGGUGAGCUAAACUUUAAGUCUUCAAAUCACAUCUCAAGAAUGGUUUUUCCUUGUACCCUCACCUCCUUUAGAAAGAGUCCCAACCUGGACUUUCCCUUGUGAGGAAUGAAGAUUGUGAUAAGAAAAGCAUAAAUGGAAAAAAGAAGGAAGGAUACCUUUCAAUCCAUUAAGGAUGACCUUGGCCCCAAGAUAGAUUGGUUAUGGGGAGAAUGAACCCUAAAAGGACCUCAAGGAAAAUCUUGUUUUGAUUAUACUUAUAGAACCACCUCAUCCUGGUGGGUAGGGCUAAGGAGAAUCUCUGCUUUUGAUGUCCCUCUGCUAGUUGGUAAACAGGAUUGAGGGAGGUGAGAAGGGAAUUGAGUUUCUUCCCUAAAGGCACAGCCUACUGCAGUCCCUCCCAGGCCCAGGGAAAUACUCACCAGCUGUGA